GAAAUGCGAUAAGUAAUGUGAAUUGCAGAAUUCAGUGAAUCAUCGAAUCUUUGAACGCACAUUGCGCCCGCCAGUAUUCUGCCGGGCAUGCCUGUUCGAGCGUCAUUACAACCCUCAGGCCCCCGGGCCUGGCGUUGGGGAUCGGCGGAAGCCCCCUGCGGGCACAACGCCGUCCCCCAAAUACAGUGGCGGUCCCGCCGCAGCUUCCAUUGCGUAGUAGCUAACACCUCGCAACUGGAGAGCGGCGCGGCCACGCCGUAAAACACCCAACUUCUGAAUGUUGACCUCGAAUCAGGUAGGAAUACCCGCUGAACUUAAGC
rnacentral:misc_RNA from 1 species